rnacentral:rRNA from 1 species
CAGCUAGGGACAACAUUUGGAAACGAAUGCUAAUACCUGAUAUUAUGAUUUUAGGGCAUCCUAGGAUUAUGAAAGCUAUAUGCACUGUGAGAGAGCUUUGCGUCCCAUUAGCUAGUUGGAGAGGUAACGGCUCACCAAGGCGAUGAUGGGUAGCCGGCCUGAGAGGGUGAUCGGCCACAAGGGGACUGAGACACGGCCCUUACUCCUACGGGAGGCAGCAGUGGGGAAUAUUGGACAAUGGACCAAGAGUCUGAUCCAGCAAUUCUGUGUGCACGAUGAAGUUUUUCGGAAUGUAAAGUGCUUUCAGUUGGGAAGAAAAAAAUGACGGUACCAACAGAAGAAGUGACGGCUAAAUACGUGCCAGCAGCCGCGGUAAUACGUAUGUCACAAGCGUUAUCCGGAUUUAUUGGGCGUAAAGCGCGUCUAGGUGGUUAUAUAAGUCUGAUGUGAAAAUGCAGGGCUCAACUCUGUAUUGCGUUGGAAACUGUGUAACUAGAGUACUGGAGAGGUAAGCGGAACUACAAGUGUAGAGGUGAAAUUCGUAGAUAUUUGUAGGAAUGCCGAUGGGGAAGCCAGCUUACUGGACAGAUACUGACGCUGAAGCGCGAAAGCGUGGGUAGCAAACAGGAUUAGAUACCCUGGUAGUCCACGCCGUAAACGAUGAUUACUAGGUGUUGGGGGUCGAACCUCAGCGCCCAAGCAAACGCGAUAAGUAAUCCGCCUGGGGAGUACGUACGCAAGUAUGAAACUCAAAGGAAUUGACGGU